rnacentral:rRNA from 1 species
UUGGAGGGCAAGUCUGGUGCCAGCAGCCGCGGUAAUUCCAGCUCCAAUAGCGUAUAUUAAAGUUGUUGCAGUUAAAAAGCUCGUAGUUGAAUUUCGGGAUUGACCCAUCGGUCGUGCCUUAAGGGGUAUGAACUGGUGUAGUCAAUUUCUCACCUUCUGGAGAACCGCGAUGUCCUUAAUUGGGUGCCGCGAGGAACCAGGACCUUUACUUUGAAAAAAUUAGAGUGUUUAAAGCAGGCAUUUUUGCUUGAAUACAUUAGCAUGGAAUAAUAAAAUAGGACGGCAUGAUUCUAUUUUGUUGGUUUCUAGGAUCACCGUAAUGAUUAAUAGGGAUAGUUGGGGGCAUUAGUAUUCAAUUGUCAGAGGUGAAAUUCUUGGAUUUAUUGAAGACUAACUACUGCGAAAGCAUUUGCCAAGGAUGUCUUCAUUAAUCAAGAACGAAAGUUAGGGGAUCGAAGACGAUCAGAUACCGUCGUAGUCUUAACCAUAAACUAUGCCGACUAGGAAUCAGACGAUGUUAAUUUUUUAAUGACUCGUUCGGCGCCUUACGGGAAAC